GACGGAGGAGGCAAGCGUUAUCCGGAAUUAUUGGGCGUAAAGCGUCCGCAGGCGGCUUUUUAAGUCUGUGGUCAAAGCCCACAGCUCAACUGUGGAUCGGCAAUGGAAACUGGGAAGCUAGAGUGUGGUAGGGGUAGAGGGAAUUCCCGGUGUAGCGGUGAAAUGCGUAGAUAUCGGGAAGAACACCAGUGGCGAAGGCGCUCUACUGGGCCACAACUGACGCUGAGGGACGAAAGCUAGGGGAGCGAAUGGG
rnacentral:rRNA from 1 species